GGGCGGGUAGCUCAGAUAGGAGAGCACCUGCUUGGGCAGCAGAAGGCCGAGACGAGUAUCGUUCCGCCCA
rnacentral:tRNA from 1 species